rnacentral:rRNA from 1 species
AUUGAACGCUGGCGGCAGGCCUAACACAUGCCAGUCGAGCGGAUGAAGGGAGCUUGCUCCUGGAUUCAGCGGCGGACGGGUGAGUAAUGCCUAGGAAUCUGCCUGGUCGCGGGGGAUAACGUCCGGAUACGGGCGCUAAUCCCGCAUACGUCCUGUGGGCGCAAGUGGGGGAUCUUCGGACCUCACGCUAUCAGAUGAGCCUAGGUCGGAUUCGCUAGUUGGUGGGGUAACGGCCUAACAAGGCGGCGAACCGUAACUGGUCUGAGAGGAUGAUCAGUCAGACUGGAACUGAGACACGGUCCAGACACCUACGGUAGGCAGCAGUGGGGAAUAUUGGACGAUGGGCGAAAGCCUGAUCCAGCCAUACCGCGUGUGUGAAGAAGGUCUUCGGAUUGGAAAGCACUUUAAGUUGGAAGGAAGGGCAGUAAGUUAAUACCUUGCUGUUUUGACGUUACCAACAGAAUAAGCACCGGCUAACUUCGUG